UACGUAGGGCGCAAGCGUUAUCCGGAAUUAUUGGGCGUAAAGAGCUCGUAGGCGGUCUGUCGCGUCGAAUGUGAAAACCCGGGGCUCAACUCCGGGCUUGCAUUCGAUACGGGCAGACUAGAGUUCGGUAGGGGAGACUGGAAUUCCUGGUGUAGCGGUGAAAUGCGCAGAUAUCAGGAGGAACACCGGUGGCGAAGGCGGGUCUCUGGGCCGAUACUGACGCUGAGGAGCGAAAGCGUGGGGAGCAAACAGG
rnacentral:rRNA from 1 species